rnacentral:rRNA from 1 species
AUUGAACGCUGGCGGCAUGCUUUACACAUGCAAGUCGGACGGCAGCACAGAGAAGCUUGCUUCUUGGGUGGCGAGUGGCGAACGGGUGAGUAAUGUAUUGGAACGUACCGAGUAAUGGGGGAUAACCAAUCGAAAGAUUGGCUAAUACCGCAUACGUCCUGAGGGGGAAAGCGGGGGAUCUUCGGACCUCGCGUUAUUCGAGCGGCCAAUAUCUGAUUAGCUGGUUGGUGGGGUAAAGGCCUACCAAGGCGACGAUCAGUAGCGGGUCUGAGAGGAUGAUCCGCCACACUGGGACUGAGACACGGCCCAGACUCCUACGGGAGGCAGCAGUGGGGAAUUUUGGACAAUGGGCGCAAGCCUGAUCCAGCCAUGCCGCGUGUCUGAAGAAGGCCUUCGGGUUGUAAAGGACUUUUGUCAGGGAAGAAAAGGCUUUUGAUAAUACCAGGAGCUGAUGACGGACCUGAAGAAUAAGCAC